rnacentral:ncRNA from 1 species
CAUCUAAGCGGGAAACCCACCUGAAAACGAGUAUUCCUAUCAGAGCCGUGGAAGACGACCACGUUGAUAGGACGGGUGUGGAAGUGCAGUAAUGCAUGAAGCUUACCGUUACUAAUAGCUCGAUUGGCUUGAUCGU